GCUGGGUGUAGUGGCUUACACCUGUAAUCCCAGCACUUUGGGAGGCUGAGGUGGGUGGAUCACCUGAGUUCAGGAGUUCGAGACCAGCCUGGACAACAUGGUGAAACCCCAUCUCUA
rnacentral:SRP_RNA from 1 species